CGAAGCAGUAAUUACGGGUUUGGGAUUGGCAGUCAGACUCGGGGUAACCUCAGUGGAAAUUUGCAGUGACUCUCAGUUGAUAAUCGGGCAAGUGACGGGGGAAUUCGAAGCAAAGGACGGAAAGAUGGCUGCAUAUUUAAUGGAGGUCAAAAACUUGCAGAGGGGGUUCACUAAGUUUAAGAUAACUAAGAUCCCUCGAAAGGACAAUGAGCGAGCGGACGCGCUGGCUAAGCUCGCAUCAGCCAACCCCAGACGACUGCCUCGCACAGCCAGUGUGCAAAUUCUGCGACAACCUAGCAUCCAACAUGUAAUCGAUGUUAUGAAUGUAGAAAAUGAGGAAAGUUGGAUAGACCCGCUGUUUGAGUAUCUCACAAAGAAUAAAUUGCCGGAGGAUGCUCUCACGGCCAAAAGGCUAAAAGUUCGGGCAGCCUCGUUUGCCAUCAUCGAUGGGCAACUCUACAAGCGAGGCUUCACAAUGCCAUAUUUGAAGUGUUUGCAACCGACAGAAGCACAGGAGGUGCUAAUCGAAGUACAUGCGGGAAUUUGUGGCAACCACCAAGGGGCGACUACCCUUGCGUUCAAAACGCUUCGACAAGGAUAUUAUUGGCCCAGUAUUAAGGAAGAUGCUAGAGAGUUGGUGAGAAAAUGCGAUGCAUGCCAACGCCAUGGAAAUCUGAUCCACAUUCCGGCCGAGCAACAGACGGCAGUUUUCGGGGUGUGUCCCUUCUUCCAAUGGGGGAUGGACAUCUUGGGACCUUUGCCCAUGUCAAAAGGACAGAGGAAGUUCUUGUUAGUUGCCGUCGACUACUUUACUAAGUGGGUGGAAGCUGAGCCUUUGGCCACCAUCACGACUGCAAAGAUACAGGGAUUCGUCUGGAAAAAUAUCAUAUGCAGGUUUGGUAUACCUCGGGUAAUCAUUACAGAUAAUGGAAAACAAUUCGAUAAUCACAGUUUUAGAGCCUUCUGCACCAGCUACCACAUCGACCACAGGCUGACUUCAGUUGCUCACCCGCAGGCAAAUGGGCAAGCGGAAGUGACCAACCGAACCAUACUGUGGGAUUUGAAGACAAGAUUAGAAAAAGAAAAAGGACUUUGGGCUGAGGAGUUGCCCAAUGUACUGUGGGCAUAUCACACUACCCCCCGAGAGUCGACCGGGGAGACGCCAUUCAAACUGGCCUUUGGGAUGGAAGCCGUGGUUCCGGUUGAGAUCUUAAGCGAGACAGGAAGGAUGAAAGUCAAGCAACCCGACGACGCAGCAACUAGGGGAGAGCUCGACCUCCUCGAGGGGGUAAGGGACAAGGCGGCGAUAAGAAUGAUGGCUUAUAAACGAAGAGCCGCUGAGUACUUCAAUCGGAGAGUAAAGCCAAGGGUCUUCCAGCCAGGAGAUCUCGUUCUAAGAGAUGCAGCAGCGGCAGGACACCCCCCACCAAAGCUUGGUCCAAACUGGGAAGGCCCGUACGAAGUAAUAUGCAGGCUGGGAAAGGGAGCUUACAGCUUGAAAGAUAUAAAAGGAAGGCCGCUAGGUAGACCAUGGAAUGCAGAACACCUCAAAAAGUAUUACCAGUAGAACUCAAAAUGUACACGCCGGCUGCGCUUUUGUAAAUAUAGUAGAUUAGGUUGCAUUGCUUAUUUUCUCUAUGUAAUGCCUCACAAAGGCACCCUUAGUUGUAACAAUUUAUCUUAUUCAAUGAAAGACCUUGGCGGUGACGGAUGAUGAGGGCGCUACGGAAGGGCCAGCCUAGCUGGGACAUCCCGGUGCGCCUACUGAGCUC
rnacentral:lncRNA from 1 species